GCCUCUUUAGCUCAGUUGGUUAGAGCGUCGUGCUAAUAACGCGAAGGUCACAGGUUCGAUCCCUGUAAGUGGCA